rnacentral:rRNA from 1 species
AGUGAACGCUGGCGGUAGGCCUAACACAUGCAAGUCGAACGGCAGCACAGUAAGAGCUUGCUCUUACGGGUGGCGAGUGGCGGACGGGUGAGGAAUACAUCGGAAUCUACUUUUUCGUGGGGGAUAACGUAGGGAAACUUACGCUAAUACCGCAUACGACCUACGGGUGAAAGCAGGGGAUCUUCGGACCUUGCGCGAUUGAAUGAGCCGAUGUCGGACUAGCUAGUUGGCGGGGUAAAGGCCCACCAAGGCGACGAUCCGUAGCUGGUCUGAGAGGAUGAUCAGCCACACUGGAACUGAGACACGGUCCAGACUCCUACGGGAGGCAGCAGUGGGGAAUAUUGGGCAAUGGGCGCAAGCCUGAUCCAGCCAUACCGCGUGGGUGAAGAAGGCCUUCGGGUUGUAAAGCCCUUUUGUUGGGAAAGAAAAGCAGCAGGUUAAUACCCCGCUGUUCUGACGGUACCCAAAGAAUAAGCACCGGCUAACUUCGUG